rnacentral:lncRNA from 1 species
CCCCAGUGGUCUCUGCUCUGACUGGAGGGAGAAAAGUGUGGGGAUGCAUUUUGGGGCUGAAGCUUAUACCCCAGUGCUUCCCUGAGAAGCCCCGAUGCUUGGGAAGGAAGGAAAGGGCAUCAUUCUCCAAGAUACAUUGUAUAUUUUCUGCAUUUCAGUAUCUGUUAGGACUCGAUCUGUCUCAUAUGCCAGGAAUCCCAACGAAACUGCCUUAACCCAAAGGGAGUCGGUGGGUACAAGUAGCGAAGCAGAGUGGGUCCUGGCUGCAGGUGGGCUUCCUGCGUGGGCUCACGUGACGUCACAGAGCUGGUGUCUGCUUGUCUAUUGCUGAUGCAGUUUCCUCGAGAUUGGCCCCUCUCAGACAGGCCCUCCGCCCAGUGCUGUGACAGCGCCAGCCUCACAUCUUCUCAGGCUAGCCCAGCAGGACGGAGGGACGGGCUCUUUCCGAGGAGUCCUGGCCCCGGCGGUGUCGUGUGCCCACAUGGACCAAUCACUGUGGUGACGCCAGUGAGAUGCUCUGAUUGGCUUAGACCCAGAAACAAUCAAAACACAGACAAAAUACGUGAAAUGACAUUUUUAAGACGCUGUACAUCAAGCAAUGAAGGACAGUGAACCCUCUGAGAUAGCAAAUGAACAAUAAUGAAGCCUUCCAUUACCCAGCCUGUCUUCCUUGAUCGUGUUUCCAGGCUACAGUUCAGAGAAGGAGGAACCCAGGCAGAGCUCAGUGGAGUCUCCGAGUUGAGGAGACAGAGCUGAGAGUACAGAAAAAUCCUAGAGGCAGGAGUUCACAAGACAGAAUGCCAGCAAGGAGAGCGCUGCACAGAGAAAAAGAUCAGGAGGCAUGCAGAGGGUGCAGAGGGUCACCACUGAGGGUUCUGCUGAGUACUCGUGAUCACAUGAAAACCUCCCGAGUUUGGGGAAAGAACCAAAAGACUGGGAGUGACUGGAGCUAACCACGGCCUGAGAGCAGUGCCUGUUUCCACUAGCCAGACUGGAGAACCUCAUGAUGCACAGGACAUUGGGUUUAAAUAGGCAGAGAGCCUUGCCUUCAUCGGUGGAGAAUAACUAGAAAUAGACUCAGCAUUGCUAUGGUCUCACCUAGAAAAUCUUAAAAGUCAGACUCAAAAGGAUUAAUCUAUUUCUGAAUAACUUAAUUGCAUCCAGAAUUAAGCUCAAUAAUAUUGAAAGGACUACGGCAACUUUCAAUACCCAACAGCAGGCAUUCAGGGAAGCAGAAGAAUAUAAACCUUAAUGGAGAGGUCAGUCCAUCAAAAUUGACCCAGAACUGGCACCAAUGUUAAAAUUGGCAGACAAGGACAUUAAAAUAUCAAUAUAAUAGCAGUAUUCCAUAUGUUCAAAAAGUUCAAUAGAAGUAUGGGAGUUAUAAAAAUAACAGCAGACAAACUCCUAGAGUUGAAAAACACACAAUGUGUAAGAUAAACAAUAAAUUAUAGGAUUAUUAACAUAUUAUACACUGCAGAAGAACAUACUGGUAAAUUUUAAGAUCUAGUAUUAGAAACUAUCUAAAAUGAAAUAAUGAGGAAAAAGUACAGAAAAAAAACUCCAGAGCAUCAAUAAGCUGUGAGAUCAUGUCAGGAGGUUUAAUAUAUAUGUAAUUGGAAUCACCAAAGGGAGGGGGGCAGAAAAUAGAUUUAAAUAGAUAAUGGCCAAAAUUUUCCAAAUUUGAACAUUAUAAACCCAUAGCUCCAAUGAGCUCAGAGAACCUUAAGUGUAAGAACAUAUGGAGAAAAUUACACCAAAGCACAUACUAACCAGAUUGCUUGAAACCAAUGACUCAGAGAAUGUCUUAAAAGCAGUCAUACAAAAAAGACAAAAGGAAAACACAGACAAAGAGGAGGAGAGAUAAGGGGGACAACAGAUUUCUCAGGAGAAGCAAUGCAAGUGAGAAGCCAUUGGAGCUGCAUUUUGAAAGCACUGAAAGAAAAAAUUGCCAAUCUUGAAUUCUGUACCCAAUGAAAAUAUUACUCAAAAACAGAGGUGAAUAAAGACUUUUUUCAGACUGGAAAAGCAAUUCCAUCAAGUGACAGUAUUACAAUUUGUUCGUCCAUUUUUCUAUUGAUGGGCAUUUAGGUGGUUUUCUGUGUGUUGUCUACUGGACAGCACUGAAACGACCAUCAUACACACAUUACCUUUUGUUCACAUGCAAGUUUUUCUAGAAUACGCAUUCAAAGGGAGAAUUGUUGGGGAACAAGGGACGUGCAUCUUCCAUUUUCGCUAAGGCACAUGCCAAGUGCCUGGAGAGUGUGAG